CGAGAAAGCCCGCAAGGGUGAGUAAAGCGGCGCACGGGUGCGUAACACGUGGAUAAUCUGCCCUGGAGUCCGGAACAACUCGCCGAAAGGCGAGCUAAUGCCGGAUGAGACCACGGGGGCUUCGGCCCCUGAGGGAAAAGGUGGCCUCUGUACACAAGCUAUCGCUUCAGGAUGAGUCCGCGGCCCAUCAGCUAGUUGGCGGGGUAAUGGCCCACCAAGGCGACGACGGGUAGCUGGUCUGAGAGGACGAUCAGCCACACUAGAACUGAGACACGGUCCAGACUCCUACGGGAGGCAGCAGUGGGGAAUCUUGCGCAAUGGGCGAAAGCCUGACGCAGCAACGCCGCGUGUGUGAUGAAGGUCUUCGGAUCGUAAAGCACUGUCGCGAGGGACG
rnacentral:rRNA from 1 species